UUUAUUUCCAGUUGGUAGAGCAUGAGGCUCUUAAUCUCAGGGUCAUGGGUUUGAGCCCUACACUGAGCAAAA